AACGAACGCUGGCGGCAGGCUUAACACAUGCAAGUCGAGCGCCCCGCAAGGGGAGCGGCAGACGGGUGAGUAACGCGUGGGAAUCUACCCAUCUCUACGGAAUAACGCAUGGAAACGUGUGCUAAUACCGUAUACGUCCUUCGGGAGAAAGAUUUAUCGGAGAUGGAUGAGCCCGCGUUGGAUUAGCUAGUUGGUGGGGUAAAGGCCUACCAAGGCGACGAUCCAUAGCUGGUCUGAGAGGAUGAUCAGCCACACUGGGACUGAGACACGGCCCAGACUCCUACGGGAGGCAGCAGUGGGGAAUAUUGGACAAUGGGCGCAAGCCUGAUCCAGCCAUGCCGCGUGAGUGAUGAAGGCCCUAGGGUUGUAAAGCUCUUUCACCGGUGAAGAUAAUGACGGUACCUGAAGAAGAAGCACCGGCUAACUACGUGCCAGCCGCCGCCGUAACAC
rnacentral:rRNA from 1 species